rnacentral:rRNA from 1 species
GACGUAGGGAGCAAGCGUUGUCCGGAAUCAUUGGGCGUAAAGCGCGCGUAGGUGGCUUCGUAAGUCCGUUGUGAAAGUCAAAGGCUCAACCUUUGAAAGCCGAUGGAUACUGCGGAGCUAGAGUACGGAAGAGGCGAGUGGAAUUCCUGGUGUAGCGGUGGAAUGCGCAGAUAUCAGGAGGAACACCAAUAGCGAAGGCAGCUCGCUGGGACGUUACUGACACUGAGGCGCGAAAGCGUGGGGAGCGAACAGG